rnacentral:rRNA from 1 species
UGAGUGGCGGACGGGUGAGUAACGCGUGGGCAACCUGGCCUGUACAGGGGGAUAACACUUAGAAAUAGGUGCUAAUACCGCAUAACGGGGGAAGCCGCAUGGCUUUCCCUGAAAACUCCGGUGGUACAGGAUGGGCCCGCGUCUGAUUAGCCAGUUGGCAGGGUAACGGCCUACCAAAGCGACGAUCAGUAGCCGGCCUGAGAGGGCGGACGGCCACACUGGGACUGAGACACGGCCCAGACUCCUACGGGAGGCAGCAG